AAAUUGAAGAGUUUGAUCAUGGCUCAGAUUGAACGCUGGCGGCAGGCCUAACACAUGCAAGUCGAACGGUAACAGGAAGCAGCUUGCUGCUUCGCUGACGAGUGGCGGACGGGUGAGUAAUGUCUGGGAAACUGCCUGAUGGAGGGGGAUAACUACUGGAAACGGUGGCUAAUACCGCAUAACGUCGCAAGACCAAAGAGGGGGACCUUCGGGCCUCUUGCCAUCAGAUGUGCCCAGAUGGGAUUAGCUGGUUGGUGAGGUAACGGCUCACCAAGGCGACGAUCCCUAGCUGGUCUGAGAGGAUGACCAGCCACACUGGAACUGAGACACGGUCCAGACUCCUACGGGAGGCAGCAGUGGGGAAUAUUGCACAAUGG
rnacentral:rRNA from 1 species